UUGACACUAUGAUGAUUGCAUAGUUCAGCAGACAACCCAUGAAGAAUUAAAAUAGUCUUUCACCCCUAGCUGACGUGUCUA